CCCCUCUCAGGGUCGCACCCGGAGAGUUUCCAAUACUCUACCAGUAUCGACUACAAGAUGGAGAGUCGAGCGGAGGCCCACCCAUUCCAUUCCUAGCUUGGGCAGUGGCUAGCAAGUGGAAGGCAAUCUGCUCCAAGU